AGGGUGUAAACGCUGCAGACUUGGUGUUGGAGGCCCUUUGGGGGCAUUCAGUGCCGGAGAGAAGUUGUUAAGUCUGCUACUUGGGGAGUACGUCCGCAAGGAUGAAACUUAAAGGAAUUGGCGGGGGAGCACCGCAACGGGAGGAGCGUGCGGUUUAAUUGGAUUCAACACCGUAAAACUCACCAAGGGCGACUGUUACAUGAAAGCCAGGCUAAUGACCUUGCUUGAUUUUCAGAGAGGAGGUGCAUGGCGUCAGUGACU
rnacentral:rRNA from 1 species